rnacentral:rRNA from 1 species
CCCUCCCUUGUUUCUCCCGCCUAUAUACCGCCGUCGUCAGCUUACCCUGUGAAGGUCUAAUAGUAAGCAAAAUUGGCACCGCCCAGAACGUCAGGUCGAGGUGUAGCGCAUGAGAGGGGAAGAAAUGGGCUACAUUCGCUACUACUAGCGAAUACGAACGAUGCACUGAAAACGUUCAUCUGAAGGAGGAUUUAGCAGUAAGUGGAAAAUAGAGUGUUCCGCUGAAAUCGGCUCUGAAGUGCGUACACACCGCCCGUCACUCUCCCCAAGCUUAUCAUUACACAUAUAUAAAACGCUCUAACUGCGAAGGGGAGGCAAGUCGUAACAUGGUAAGUGUACCGGAAGGUGCACUUGGAAAAA